rnacentral:rRNA from 1 species
UCAAGAAACUUCCACAAUGGGCGAAAGCCUGAUGGAGCGACGUCGCGUGAUGGACGAAGUGCUUCGGCACGUAAACAUCUUUUAUGUGGGAUGAAAUUAUUGACAGUACCACAUGAAUAAGGGGCUCCCAACUCUGUGCCAGCAGGAGCGGUAAUACAGAGGCCCCAAGCGUUAUCCGGAAUCACUGGGCGUAAAGGGUGUCGAGGCGGUUGUAUUAGUCGUUCGUAAAAUCUACGAGCUUAACUUGUAGGCGGCGAACGAAACGGUACGACUUGAGGUUUGGAGAGGUGCGUGGAACUCACGGUGUAGGGGUGAAAUCCGUUGAUAUCGUGGGGAACACCAAAGGCGAAGGCAGCGCACUGGCCAAAAUCUGACGCUCACACACGAAAGCUAGGGUAGCGAAGAGGAUUAGAUACCCUAGUAGUCCCUGAGCGGGCUGGCAAGGCGCAU